GACAGCAGUCGCCGCGGUAAUACAGAGGGUGCGAGCGUUAAUCGGAUUUACUGGGCGUAAAGCGUGCGUAGGCGGCUUCUUAAGUCGGAUGUGAAAUCCCUGAGCUUAACUUAGGAAUUGCAUUCGAUACUGGGAAGCUAGAGUAUGGGAGAGGAUGGUAGAAUUCCAGGUGUAGCGGUGAAAUGCGUAGAGAUCUGGAGGAAUACCGAUGGCGAAGGCAGCCAUCUGGCCUAAUACUGACGCUGAGGUACGAAAGCAUGGGGAGCAAACAGGAUUAGAUACCCCUGUAGUCCCUGUCUCUUAUAA
rnacentral:rRNA from 1 species